GGUGGAGGAGGGGCUGAAGGGAAGCGAAGUUUCUCGAUGCUCCUUGUCUCGGGCCGCCCCGCCUGCGAGACAGGAACCGGUGGAGCUUCUCUAGGUUGUCUCCUCUUGUGUUCCAUUCCUGAUGGUCUGUUGCGGGGUUGGAAAAACAGUGUGGUUGGUUCCAAGGAACAAAAGAGGGGGCCACGGCGGGCUUCGGGACGGCCCCAGGAUCGCUCCCUAAGAUGGCCGCCGCCGUGAGGGAGGGUGGGCGGAGCCCGUACUGCUUCCGUCGCGGGCCUGGGCGGGGCGGUAGCGACUACUUGCACCCAUGGCUGCCGCCUCGGAGCCCCACGAGCCGGAGAAAAAGGUUCCACUGUAGGUAUAAUUUUGCUAAGCAGAGGAUCCAGGAAAGAAUUGCCAGAGAAGGAAUAAAAAACAAGAUUUUAUAUGAAAGCACCCACCUUGAUCCUGAAAGAAAAACGAAGAGCAGUAACAGCAGCUGAGCGACUUCAUCAGCUUUAAACCCACAACUAUGCUUCCUUGUGAAUCAACCAUAAAUUAAACUCAAGUGUGUCAACUGUAUUGUUACCUACAUGAAAUCCUUUUGUUUACUGCCAGUAAGUUAUGUCUGUCAUGUAUCACAGAACUGCCAUGUCAAACACAUGGGAGUCAGGGUCCUGCUCUUCCUAAGGUGUCAGAUUCAUUAUCUGUUCACAAAGUACAUCAGAUUGAAGGAGAAAUCACACCUGAGCAGGGAUAUGUAUCUAUUACUGGCCUAGGACUUUGUCUAUUGAAGCUUCAACAGGAAAGACUGUUAACGAUGGACACUAAGAAGCCUUGCAUCUGGUAGCCCUACUAUUUCAUCCUUGAUAAAGUUGAGUUUGUAGUAGGUCAAUCAAGUAUUUUAACAAGCUGUGGACAGUGCACUUAUGCUCUCAGCCAUUGUCACUGUGAAAAACCAGAGACUGGAAUUCUGCCAGCUUUACCAUGGUGCAGUUAUAUCUUACCAUGAAAGAGACCUCUCUUGGCUGGUAACAUCUUCACUACUUACAAAGUUCAUUUUCACAGCAGCACAACUGGAUAAAAAGAGUCACAAAGCAUUUAGUUUCCUUGAUUUGCCUGAAUCAUGCCAUUUUAAAGAUCUAUAAUCCCAUGACCACUGAUUCCUUUAAUAUUAUACUCUGACCAUUUCCCUGUAACCUAGCCUACCUCAGUAUUCCAGUGUUGGGAUUACAGGUGUGAACUACCAUGUCUCUAGCUUAAUUCAACCUUUCAUCCCAUCUACACAACUAGGCUGAGCCUCCUAAACACCAGAAAUGUUUAAUAACUACAUUUUCCUUAGAAACUUCUGGUGUUUUAUCUUCUGUAGAUGACUUCUAGUCACAGCCCAUGUAACACACAAGCCCUGCAUUUCACAAAAGGCCAGGCACAAUUGCAUUCCAUAGCUAUCUAUAUGCUACUAGGUAAAUUCUAAGACAAUGUGCCCACCCAACCCACACUUUUACACUGAAAAAUUUAAAUUCAACCUACCUUCUUUGCCCUCUGUGCAGUUUCCUUCAUUGUCCCGAUAAUCCCGAAAUGUCAUACUAGGUGAUAUAGCAGUAGGUACCAGCCAAAAGCUGAUUAAAAUAGAAUCGUAGUGUUAGUUUUGAAGUUUUGGGAUAGCUUAUCUACCAUUCCUAGGCUUUAAUUCCUUCCCCCCCCCUCAACCCCUCCCUCUUUGAUUCCUUGUUUUUCCGUCUUAGUAAAAGGACCUGGGGAGAUUUAAUAGGAACAGCUUUUUUUCUGGACUUGUGACUUAUUGACUGAGCUUGGCCACAAUUAAAACUCAACUAUGCUAAAACCA
rnacentral:lncRNA from 1 species